rnacentral:lncRNA from 1 species
UUUCUAAUUCCUUCUUUUUUUCUGCCUGCCUUUGGCAAAUUCUUAGAUUCUUCUGUGUCUCAGAAGAAAUUAUAGAUUCUUGUAGUCUUUGAAAAGUUUUUGAAAAUGUGUAUGGGUAUUUAUGAUUGCUAUAGAUUGCACCAUUUAGCAAAUAACUUUUGGCAAAAUGGGUUGAAUACUCUUACUAGUUUUUGUUGGAUGGAUUAGGAUACCAUCUUUUCCUUUUAUUUGUGUGCGCACAGCAGAAACACAGGUUCGUGCAUUUGGUGUUCAACCUGACAAUUAACAUUGAUAAAUCUUUUGGAAACGUCAAUCCAUAUCCCCCUUUUCAGUCUCAAUAUGGUUGAAGGAUCUUGCUUUUACUAAGGCUUUUUUGUUCUUAAUAGUAAAUGGCAACGUGAAAGUGCAUAUCGCAUUUCAAUCUUUGCAUUCACAUCUCCAGUCAUUUACCUUUAUUAUUAUUAUUAUUAUUAUUUUUGCAUCGCUGCAUUUGAUGUUGUCCAUUUUAAUGGUUGCCAAUUUUGAAGGGAAAAAUAUGUUCUGGCCAAUGAAAUUUUUAUUUGUUUGUGUGACUUAAAAGCAAUCUUUGUUUACCAUCUUCUCCUAUUUACUCUCUGAACUUUUAUCCAAUGUGGCCUUACUUAUUAUUUGUAAAAUUUGGUCAAAAUAAUUUCUUUAGCUCUACAAUUAAUUCAGAUUUAAUUGUUGAUAACAAUUAGUUGCAUGAUCUGCUGAGAAGUGGAGACCCAUAACUCCAUCCAAUUUGAGAAGUAAACGCGUUUAUGUAGUUGUGACGAGUUCUCUUGAUUAGGUUACCAUGGCCCAUAGUAAACCUGGGACAUGUUGGGGUUCCAGUGCCUGAAAUAUAGUGUAUUUGUCGGCAUGUUCAUAUGUACAAUGUACGUAGUUGGACUCAACUAAAUGUAUAUAGUGUGCAAAAGUAUGUAAUUUCCUUUAUGUAUAUAGUGUGCAAAAGUAUGUAAUUUCCUUUUCUAUUUUGGUUUCAGGCAAAAAUUUCAACCUCGUGACCACGAAGCUUAAGGUGGUUUAAUGCCAUCAUGACAUUUUCUUUGGCAUGUUGUCUACAUGGACAACCCUUGUUAUAUCUCAUUGUAAUUCUAUAGAGAUAACCAUUUAGAGAAGGAAAUCUUUAUGUUUCAUAUGUUCUUAGAGCAGUCCUAAUUCCUUGAGAAAUUAUCACUUUUAAUAUCAUUUCCCAAGUUCAAUUUCUAUUUCUAAAGUUGUACUUCAUCGUAUUCACUAAUCAAAUCAAUUUAUGUCUCUCGAGUUCAAAUUAAUCUUAUCUAGUUGAGUUAACUAAUUAUAUUUCUUCGUGAAGUUGAAUAAGUAGUCUCCCCUAAUUAAAUGCAUUAAAUCAUUAGGAAUUCAAUUAAAGGCUGCAAUAAUAAUAAAAAUAUAUUUCUACCUUUUACCCAACUGUCGUAUCUUACUAUUUGAUCUAAAUUUAUUACUCACAUCUUGAUUGUUACAAUUCAAAAAUUAUGAAUUCGUGAUCAUAUAAUUCAAGCAUUAAAAGCAAAAGUAGAAUCAAUACUUCAAUCACUCAACGAUGCAAAUAUCAAGAAUUGAAAUAGAUAGUCAAAUUUAGGUUAUAUCUUUUCUCUCAACUAAUAGUUUAAUUACUUAUCAUAGAAGAAGAAGAGCACAUAAGUAUUUUAGAAUACAUGAUUGGAUUUUAUGAAAAAAAAGAGAGGAUGAAUAUUUUGUAUCAAGAACUCGACUUCACGCUGAAAUCUUGAAACCUCAACUUUCUUGAUCUCUAAUCUUUGUAUGUGAAGGAGUUUAUUGCAGUUUUUUGUUAGAAUAAUUUUCUCGUCUACAAGAAAAGUCCUAGUCUUUAUAGACAUCUACUUGUAUUUGAACUUGGCUUUAUUUUUGCUAAGUGGGUUGCUUUCUCGUUUCUGUUGCGAUUGUGUAUUGAAUGGUUAUUUAAGCCAAAGUUAUUGUUAAUAAAACUAAGUCAUUCAAUCCAGCUUUUUGUGUUUCUAUUCUUAGAUCAAAGUUCCCAACAAUCUGGUAUAAGAGCCCCCACUGGGCUUGACAAAUCAAAGUAGCAGUCUUUGAAAUUUUUGCAGCAGCACAGAAGAUGACUACAGAAGGGAGUUUUAUGCAGCUAGCCAUUCAUCGCUUUGAUGGUCACUAUGACCAUUGGAGCAUGCUGAUGGAAAUUUUUUUAAGAUCUAAGGAAUUUUGGAGGCUGGUGGAGUGUGGCUAUAUUGAGCCAGCAAGUGUAUCGGUGCAAAUAGAUGCACAGCGAAAGAAGAAUAAUGAGAUGCAGCUGAAGGACCUAAAAGUGAAGAACUAUCUCUUCCAGGCGAUCGAUUAGACCGUUCUCGACACCAUUCUCAAGAAGAAUACUGCCAAAGAUAUAUGGGACGCUAUGAAUUUUUUUUUUUGAAGGAAAUGCAAGGGUCAAGAGGUCUCAAUCUUCAAGCUUUCCGCAAAGAAUUUGAAACUCUUGAGAUGAGGUCCGGUGAAAAGGUGACAGAGUACUUUUCUAGGGUCAUGACAAUGGUCAACAAGAUGCGAAUUUAUGGAGAAGAUAUGCAGGAUGUUAAAGUGGUGGAGAAAAUUUCAUGCUCUUUAACUGAGAAGUUCAACUAUGUUGUAUGUUCUAUCGAGGAGUCAAAGGACAUUGAUGCUCUUACUAUUGACGAGUUACAAAGCUCAUUAAUAGUGCAUGAACAGAAGUUUCAGAGACGUAAUGGUGAGGAACAGGCUUUGAAAGUGACAUCUGAAGGAAGAAGAGGUCGUGGUACCUAUAGAGGAAGAUGAAGAGGGAGAGGUCGAGCAGACUUCAACAAGGUAAUUGUGGAGUGUUACCGAUGCCAUCAACUUGGACACUUUCAGUAUGAAUGUCCUUCUGGGAACAAAGAAGCAAAUUAUGCAGAGCUUGAUGAGGGAGAAGAAAUGCUUUUGAUGUCUUAUGUGGAGUUGUAUAAGGCCAGAAGAGAAGAUGCAUGGUUCCUUGAUUCAGGGUGUUCUAAUCAUAUGUGCUGGGAUUGAACUAUGUUCAAUGAAUUCGAUGAAAAAUUUCAACAUUCGAUAAAAUUGGGGAACAACACUUAGAUGGAUGUGAUGGGAAAGGGAAGUGUUAAGCUGCUGCUGAAUGGAGUCAAUCAUGUUAUUGCUGAGGUAUACUAUAUUCCAGAAUUGAGAAAUAAUCUCUUGAGCAUAGGGCAGUUGCAAGAAAGAGGCUUGGCUAUUUUGAUCAAGAGAGGGAUGUGUAAGAUAUUACAUCCAGAGAAGGGUUUAAUAAUUCAAACUAACAUGAGUGCCAACUGGAUGUUUAUCUUGCUGCCUCAGUCUUAAGCUCCCUCUCAAGUACAAUCGGAUCAGUGCUUUUGCUCAAGAACUCAAAACGUUUUUCAUCUUUGGCAUCGAAGGUAUUGGCAUCUAAGUUACAAGGGUUUGAGAACCUUGUUGUACAAGAACAUGGUAUGUGGACUUCCUCAACUCUCCACCUCAAGUGUGACAUGCACUUAUUGCAUUAAGGGGAAGCAACAUCAUGACCCUAUUCCAAAGAAGAGUACUUGGAGAGAAACUCAGAAGUUGGAGCUUAUUCAUGCAGAUAUUUGUGGUCCGAUCACUCCUACAUCUAAUAGCAAAAAGAGGUACAUUUUGUUAUUCAUUGAUGAUUACAGUAGAAAAGCAUGGGUGUAUUUCUUGGUGGAGAAGUCGAAGGCUUUAAAUUCUUUUAAAUGCUUUAAGAUUAUGAUUGAAAAAGAAACAUAGUUAUUUGUUAAGUGUUUUCAAACUGAUAGAGAAGGAGAAUUCAAUUCAAAUGAGUUCAAUGAUUUUUGCAAACAAAGUGGUAUCAAGAGGCAACUGACCAUCACUUAUACUCCACAACAAAAUAGUGUAGCUGAAAGGAAAAAUGGAACUGUGAUGAACAUGGUUCGUUCCAUGUUAUCUAACAAGAACAUUCCCAAGACUUUUUGGCUGGAGGCAGUGAACUGGACUAUUUAUGUCCUAAACAGGUGUCCUACAUUGGUAGUCAAGGAUGUUACACCAGAGGAGGCUUGGAGUGGAGUGAAACCCUCGGUAGAUAAUUUUCAGGUCUUUGGCUGCAUAGCACACGUUCAUGUUCUAGAAGAAACGAGGACUAAACUUGAUAAUAGAAGCAUUACUUGUGUGCUAUUGGGAGUUAGUGAGGAAUCAAAAGGUUAUAGGCUAUUCGAUCAUGUUGGUAAGAGAGUUGUUGUGAGUAGAGAUGUAAUUUUUGAAGAAGCUCAACCUUGCAAAACUUGAUAUUAUAUGUGCACUAGAAUUGAGUCUGACACUAUGAUGAAAUGAGUUAAUUCAUUUGUUAGACAUGUUUAUUUAAUUGGACAUAGAUGCUUUACCUAAACCAUAAUAAAUUAUCUAUCCUUAGACCAAAUUUAGACAGUUUAGGGGUCAUUUUACAGUUGUAGGAAGAUAUGGAUGUGAAUGUGGAUUCCAUGUAUGAAAAUUUAUGUGUGGAUUGUCUUAGACUAACAUGAUAAAACGAGACGAAAGUCUUAAGUUGGAGGUCAGUUUAUUUGAUAAGUGUGUAAAAUGGACAUCGCACUAAUCAAGACAUAUACAUUUGAAAUAAAAAAAAUUCUCUUUGAAGUCUUCAUGACUCGAGUAAUUAAGCCUGCAAGUGUAUCUUAAAACCUGGUGCCCUAAAGUCAUCUGACUUGGAAGUUAUCGGCUUAAAGCUCGCUACAUGGGUCAUUUAGAAGGUAAUAAAAGAUGAAGCUGCACUUGAAACAAAAAUUGGUUCUCUUCGAAGCCUUUUUGACUUGGGUCAGUAAGCUUGUAAGGGUGUUUAAAACUUGGUGCCCUAAAAUCAUCUGAUUUGAGAGUCAUCGGCUUAAUCCCCUGCUACAGGGGUCAUCUAGAAAGUUUAAUGGAGAGAAUGCAAUAAAAAGAAGAAGAAGUGAAAAAUAGAAAAAGUAAGUGCAUGAAAAGAGAAAAAGCACUAAAUACCUUGGUUAAGCCCUAACACUUAUUUGAGAGAAUUUGACUUUUGAAGCAAGAUAAUUAGUUAGUUGAGUCUUGGAGGUUGAAGCAAUCAAAUAAUUGGAGAAUCCUUGUUCAUUGAAAUGUUAACUUGCAAUUAAUAACGUCCACCUAAAGUCGAGAGGGUGAGGAUGGUAAUGAAAUAUUCAACCUUAGGUUAUACAUUGGGAAUGAGUGAAAAAGUGUAAGUUUGGGAGUGUGUGAAUCACACGAGAAAUGUAAGGAUAUAUUUAACCACAGAGGGUCGGGAAUUGAAACAACUUGUACAGUCAUGUUUGAUUUCUUAAUUCUUAACACCCACCCACACACACACACACACACACAUCGAUUUUGCACUUGAAGAGUAGAUAUCGAUCUGAUAUUGUGACUUUAAAGCAUGUUUGUGGAAUAAAUAUCAAAAUCUCGAACCUGAGGUAAAAAGCUUGAUUGUCCAAUCAAUUAUCUUUUGCAUGCUUAUGUGUUCAUAGUCAUUUAGAUGAUAGUUUUGUUUGAGAACAAACAAUUGUUUAAGUUCGAGGGUAUUUGAUAAGUGUAUUUUAUACAUUUAUUCAAAACUUUAAAAUGAUGAUAUUUAGUUGCUUCUUGAAUGAAUUAUGGUCUAAUUUAUUGUAUUUUGUGUUGAAUAGGUAAAAUUCAAUAACGGUGCAAGAAAUUGAAGAAAGAAGCAAAGUGAGCAAAAUUGGAGAAAAUGACUAAAUUGUAAGAGAUCCAAAGUUCAGGGACUAAAGUUCAAAUACUCAAAAGUUGUAUCGAACCUCACGAUGAAGAUCCAAGAGUGUUAAGAGUCAAUUAGAUGAAGAAAGAUAUCAAAUAGAUCAAAUUUAGGCAAAAUAUGAUCACAAAUCAAUUUCCAACCGAAAAGUUAUGCCCCGAAAUUUCAGCCUGACAUUGAGACCCGCUUUUGACAUAGAAAAUACUCGAAUUGGAGAAUGAUGUUUGAAGAAAAGUUGUAGCCCUUUUUCCAACACAACUUGAAUCGCCUUAAUCGAACAUCGGAAGAGAAAGUUAUGACAAAAAUAUUAAAUGAGGUGCUGUCUGAGGCGCCGCGGCGCCACCACAUGGCGCUGCAGCGCCACUCCCUAUAUGUGACGCAACGCUGUGGCACCAAAUUCCAGGCGCCACAACGCACCAAUCCGUUAGCUAAGCUUAAUAUAGGCCCAAUUGAAGUCCAGAUGAAAACCCUACCUUCUACACACGACAAAUGAGAUGUAAAAAGGAAUUUUUCAGAGACUUGAAGGGGAUUCACACGUUGGGUUGCAAGAGGCACACUUGGAGAUUAAAGAGAAGAAUUCAAGAGAGAAAAAUAAGAAGAAAUUCAAGGGUCGAAGCAUAAAUUGGAAGGGGAGGAAGAUCUUGGUGCAAGAUUGAUUUCUUAUUCAAAACCUGAUGAUGUUGUCCAUAAUAAUUUCUUCUUUUUCUUUCAUUACUAUGAGUAGUUAAAUCUAACUUUAGGG